AUUGAACGCUGGCGGCAUGCUUUACACAUGCAAGUCGAACGGUAACAGGCCGCAAGGUUCUGACGAGUGGCUAACGGGUGAGUAAUGCAUCGGAACGUGCCCAGUCGUGGGGGGUAACUACUCGAAAGAGUAGCUAAUACCGCAUACGAUCUAUGGAUGAAAGCGGGGGACCGUAAGGCCUCGCGCGAUUGGAGCGGCCGAUGUCAGAUUAGGUAUUUGGUGGGGUAAAGGCUCACCAAGCCAACGAACUGUAGCGGGUCUGAGAGGACAACCAGCCACACUGGGACUGGGCCACGGCCCAGAUUCCUACGGGAGGCAGCAGUGGGGAAUUUUGGACAAUGGGCGCAAGCCUGAUCCAGAAAUGCCGCGUGCAGGAAGAAGGCCUUCGGGUUGUAAACUGCUUUUGUACGGAACGAAACGGCUCUGGUUAAUACCCGGGGCUAAUGACGGUACCGUAAGAAUAAGCACCGGCUAACUACGUG
rnacentral:rRNA from 1 species